GGCCCUAAAUCGAUAAAUUUUAUUUGAAUUUCAAACAAAAAAUAACAUUUGUGAAUCAAAAUAAUUUAUCGUUACUAGAAGACAACUUCAUUAUCUGGCAGUAUCCUUGUUUGAAGAAGUUCAACAUAAAUUGCAAUUCGUUCAGCUUUCAUGCAGUAAAAUACCCAUUCACCUUUCGACGCAAAUAAGCCGCUACACUGUACUGUAAAGCAUUAUAAAAAGGCAUCUGCCAACAAGCGGUGCCACAAAUGGCCCAUGGGAAUUAUCACGCCUCGACCUGCGCUGCGGAACCGAGAAAGGAAUGGAAUCUCGGAUUCGAAGCGACGAAUCAUUUGAAUUGGUACCCUUCCUGCUGCUGCUGAUGCCGCCGUCGUUGCACAGGUCAGCUUACCGCUUUGAGGAUGCAAAUCCCUUAUCAUCUAUUCAGCGAAACUAAUGCUUUCAGGCAGAAGGACGAAACAUUGAACGACCGACAGCACACGAGAUUUGCCGCGCGGCUACUAAUAUUGGGAAACGGGUUUGCAAAAUCGGACGAAACUCAUGUUUUCGGGAGAGCUGUUAAAUGCUGCUAUUAAUAAUUCAGUAUUAUUGAGCACGAAACGAUAAUACAUCUCAUUAUCAUGAAUGUAGCUAAUCGCACUCAAAAACUAUA